ensembl:snoRNA
ACUGCCCCUAGAGGUGCUGCAAGUAUGGCUGCUGUGUCACAUGUGCUUCAGUAGGUGGCAGAGAGGAGAGAGGCUGUGUCCACACUCAGUGUUCUGACCUGUAAACAUUUCAAUGUUUAGUAGUAGCCUAUUAUU